rnacentral:rRNA from 1 species
AUAAUUUAUUUUGUGACAUAUCAUUCAAGUUUCUGACCUAUCAGCUUUAGACGGUAGGGUAUUGGCCUACCGUGGCUAUGACGGGUAACGGGGAAUUAGGGUUCGAUUCCGGAGAGGGAGCCUGAGAAACGGCUACCACAUCUAAGGAAGGCAGCAGGCGCGCAAAUUACCCAAUCCUAAUACAGGGAGGUAGUGACAAGAAAUAACAAUACAGGACUUUACGGUUUUGUAAUUGGAAUGAGUUAAGUAUAAACCCCUUUACAAGUAUCAAUUGGAGGGCAAGUCUGGUGCCAGCAGCCGCGGUAAUUCCAGCUCCAAUAGCGUAUAUUAAAGUUGUUGCAGUUAAAAAGCUCGUAGUUGGAUUUCUGUUAAUACCUUAUAUAUAAUAUUUUUUUUUAAAUAUUAUUAUGUAAGAUUAACAUAAUUCAUAUUUUUUAAGACUGAAUUUUUAGUUUUGAUAAUAUGAAAUUUUACUUUGAGAAAAUUAGAGUGCUUAAAGCAGGCUUUUGCCUUGAAUACUCCAGCAUGGAAUAAUAAUAAAAGAUUUUUAUCUUUUUUUUAUUGGUUCUAAGAUAAAAAUAAUGAUUAAUAGGGACAGUUGGGGGCAUUUGUAUUUAACAGUCAGAGGUGAUAUUCUUAGAUUUGUUAAAGACAAACUAAUGCGAAAGCAUUUGCCAAG